CCAGACUCUGUGACUUUAGUGGUGAAGUCCCAGUAAGCCAGUGUGGCAUAGUGGUUUGAACGUUGGACGGUGACUCUGGAGAGCAAGGAAACCCUAAAGAUUAAAAUCUGAUGUGGUUGUUGUGGUUGUGUGCCUUCAAGAUGUUUCUGAUUUAUGGUGACCCUAAGGACACUUGGAAACUGAAAUUUCUGGAAAAAGCACAAAGCCUCCCCCCAUCCAGUGAAAUUUAAGGAGUUUUUUGAG